rnacentral:rRNA from 1 species
CCUACGGGUGGCAGCAGUGGGGAAUAUUGGACAAUGGGGGGAACCCUGAUCCAGCCAUGCCGCGUGUGUGAAGAAGGCCCUCGGGUUGUAAAGCACUUUCAGUGAGGAAGAACGCCUGGUGGUUAAUACCCAUCAGGAAAGACAUCACUCACAGAAGAAGCACCGGCUAACUCCGUGCCAGCAGCCGCGGUAAUACGGAGGGUGCGAGCGUUAAUCGGAAUUACUGGGCGUAAAGCGCGCGUAGGUGGCUUGAUAAGCCGGUUGUGAAAGCCCCGGGCUCAACCUGGGAACGGCAUCCGAAACUGUCAAGCUAGAGUGCAGGAGAGGAAGGUAGAAUUCCCGGUGUAGCGGUGAAAUGCGUAGAGAUCGGGAGGAAUACCAGUGGCGAAGGCGGCCUUCUGGACUGACACUGACACUGAGGUGCGAAAGCGUGGGUAGCAAACAGGAUUAGAUACCCGUGUAGUC